CUUUACGGUGGGCUGUGUGGGGACACCCGCAAGGGUGUGCCGGAACCUUGGGCCGGUUCGCCAACCCCGCAUGGUCUGCCACCCCC
rnacentral:antisense_RNA from 1 species